CCGGCCGCUCCCGGCCCCCUCCGACGCCGGUGAGGUAGGGAAUUUGCUCCGCCUCGACCUGCUCUACCACCCCAUUCCAUUCGAUUCGAGCCUUACUGCCUCCCUCGUCCGUCCCCAACCUGAAAACCCUAAAUUGUUGUCGGCUUAUUUUGCCGCCGCCGGUCUAUUCACCCGCAAAUCCUCCCUCGCUCGCCUCCCUCCCACCACACCCACUUCACCGAAACCCUAGCCAUGGCCGCGGCCGUCUAUCUCUGUGCAUCCCCGCCGUGCGCUCCCCUUGCGGGGCCCUGGCAGCGCACUCGAUCUCCGUCUACACGGCGCGGCUCACCAUCAAAACCCCUAUGCUCCUUCACAGCUCACAUCCUCGACCCGCCAUAGCCGUCGGAUCCCUCUACAAGGCCAAGCUCAUCUGCGACUUCUGCCACCUCAACGACGACCAGGAGGACAUCACCGUCGGCAUGGAGGCCGCCAUUACCUGCAAGGACUCUCUCAUCACCGCCUACUGCGACCACUUCCAUCAGCCACGAACUCCACGCAUCUGUGCAUAGGACUCGAAACAUUAUGUCAGGGCAUCAUGUCUUCAGACCAUGUGAGAUGGUCUCUACUGACUCUCUGGACAAAAAACGCAGCCAGUGACAUCAAGGAAGAUGCAGAGUCGCAAAGAAUGCAAUGAGAAGAUUUAGAAAUGGAGCUACAGAAUGUCAGGCACCAAAUGCCAUCCGUACCAUCCUCUGGGUGUAAUUAUUUAACUGGAAGAUGGAAUGGUAGAGUCAACGGUCUCAAUUCAGGUUUGCAUGAUUACCAGCCUUGUUACUGGGACGUUAACGGGGUGCAAAAACUAUGUUAUCAUGCUUACAAAUAUUUCCCAUGUUAUCUGCAUUAAAUAACCUCUUGCAUCCGCUUGAGCUUUAUUUUCUCAAAACAUUUACAAUAUUGCACCCUCCUUGAUCUAGGGUUUGAAGCAUUCGGAAGCAAGUCCAGAUUCAGGCCUCCACCAAGCAAAUGUUGAGAAGGACUACAUAUAUGAGGUGUGGUUAUAUGUUCUGCCAAUUGAUGUAUUUUAAACAUUGUACUAUAUCUGUUGAUUUGCUAAUUGAUUAACAAUUUCAAUGGCCCAAUGUAGACCAAUCAAUGUGAAGUGUAACAUAAUAGUAAUACGAUUUCUUAAAUGCA